CAAUGACUCUCGGCAACGGAUAUCUCGGCUCUCGCAUCGAUGAAGAACGUAGCGAAAUGCGAUACUUGGUGUGAAUUGCAGAAUCCCGUGAACCAUCGAGUCUUUGAACGCAAGUUGCGCCCCAAGCUGUUAGGCUGAGGGCACGUCUGCCUGGGUGUCACG
rnacentral:rRNA from 1 species